rnacentral:ncRNA from 1 species
ACCAGGGGCCCUGGCAAGGGUCUCCGGAGUGCGCUCAAGCCAACCAGCCGAGCCGCUCCGUGACUGUACUGCCCACAAGGUGGACUGACGAGGUUGCGACUGGAACGAGUCGUCCUGAGGGACGGGGAAGCGAUUAGCGUAUCAGCCAGACAGUUCCUCGUUGUUC